UACGUAGGCAGCAAGCGUUGUUCGGAAUUACUGGGCGUAAAGAGUGUGUAGGCGGUGCUCUAAGUUCGGUGUGAAAUACCCGGGCUCAACUUGGGUGCUGCAUUUGAAACUGUAUAUCUAGAGUGCGGGAGAGGUAAGUGGAAUUCCUAGUGUAGCGGUGAAAUGCGUAGAGAUUAGGAAGAACACCAGUGGCGAAGGCGACUUACUGGACCGUAACUGACGCUGAGGCAUGAAAGCGUGGGGAGCAAACAGG
rnacentral:rRNA from 1 species